rnacentral:misc_RNA from 1 species
CCGUAGCCCGAUUGCAGCAUCUGUUUGAGCUCAUUUCUUUUGGUUUCGGCGCGGCAGCUUCGCUGCCGCGCCGAAACUAAAAGAAAUAGCGAGUGCGGAAAGCGGGAAAUAGC